rnacentral:rRNA from 1 species
UCGGUUCAUCGCUAGCAUGCGGUGUUUAACUGGCACGUCGUGAGACGUCUUGCCGGAAGGGCAUGGUAUGUGUUUUGUUUUGUGUUCAGUGCAUAUUAAUUUAUAUAUAUAUAUGGUUUAACAGCCUAUUGUUAUUUAUUUUAUAUGUUACUGACCUGGCAAGACGUGUACGUAGUCCGACUUAUAAUCCUGUCUAGGUGCUCUUAACUGAGUGUCGUGGCGGGCCGGCACGUUUACUUUGAACAAAUUAGAGUGCUUAAAGCAGGCUAAUGUUGCCUGAUAUAGUGUGCAUGGAAUAAUGGAACAGGACCUCGGUUCUAUUUUGUUGGUUUUCUGAACUUACGAGGUAAUGAUUAAUAGGGACAGAUGGGGGCAUUCGUAUUGCGACGUUAGAGGUGAAAUUCUUGGAUCG